UACGGAGGAUCCGAGCGUUAUCCGGAUUUAUUGGGUUUAAAGGGAGCGUAGGUGGAUUGUUAAGUCAGUUGUGAAAGUUUGCGGCUCAACCGUAAAAUUGCAGUUGAAACUGGGGAUCUAGAGUGUGCGAGAGGUAUGCGGAAUGCGUGGUGUAGCGGUGAAAUGCAUAGAUAUCACGCAGAACCCCGAUUGCGAAGGCAGCAUACCGGUGCACAACUGACGCUCAGGCACGAAAGCGUGGGUAUCGAACAGG
rnacentral:rRNA from 1 species